AGCACCCAGGAAUCUUUUUAAAAGGCAGAUUCUUGUUCAGUGGACCUGGGGUGUGAGCUUAGAUUCUGCAUUUCUAAUAAAUUCUCAUGUGAUGCGCA
rnacentral:pre_miRNA from 1 species